rnacentral:rRNA from 1 species
CCUACGGGAGGCAGCAGUGAGGAAUAUUGGUCAAUGGUCGGGAGACUGAACCAGCCAAGCCGCGUGAGGGAUGAAGGUACAGAGUAUCGUAAACCUCUUUUGUCAGGGAACAAAGGCGGGGACGUGUCCCCGGAUGAGUGUACCUGAAGAAAAAGCAUCGGCUAACUCCGUGCCAGCAGCCGCGGUAAUACGGAGGAUGCGAGCGUUAUCCGGAUUUAUUGGGUUUAAAGGGUGCGCAGGCGGUCUGUUAAGUCAGCGGUCAAAGUCCGGGGCUCAACCCCGGCACGCCGUUGAAACUGGCAGUCUCGAGUGGGAGAGAGGUAUGCGGAAUGCGCGGUGUAGCGGUGAAAUGCAUAGAUAUCGCGCAGAACUCCGAUUGCGAAGGCAGCAUGCCGGCUCCACACUGACGCUGAGGCACGAAAGCGUGGGUAUCGAACAGGAUUAGAUACCCGGGUAGUC